UACGGCGGCCAUAGCGGAGGGGAAACGCCCGGUCCCAUCGGAACCGGAAGCUAAGGCCCUCCAGCGCCGAUGGUACUGCACUCGACAGGGUGUGGGAGAGUAGGACACCGCCGAAC
rnacentral:rRNA from 1 species